GGUAGAGCACUUCCUUGGUAAGGAAGAGGUCACCGGUUCAAGUCCGGUUAUGGGCUCCA
rnacentral:tRNA from 1 species